GACGAACGCUGGCGGCGUGCCUAAUACAUGCAAGUAGAACGCUGAGGUUUGGUGUUUACACUAGACUGAUGAGUUGCGAACGGGUGAGUAACGCGUAGGUAACCUGCCUCAUAGCGGGGGAUAACUAUUGGAAACGAUAGCUAAUACCGCAUAAGAGUAAUUAACACAUGUUAGUUAUUUAAAAGGAGCAAUUGCUUCACUGUGAGAUGGACCUGCGUUGUAUUAGCUAGUUGGUGAGGUAAAGGCUCACCAAGGCGACGAUACAAAGCCGACCUGAGAGGGUGAUCGGCCACACUGGGACUGAGACACGGCCCAGACUCCUACGGGAGGCAGCAGUAGGGAAUCUUCGGCAAUGGACGGAAGUCUGACCGAGCAACGCCGCGUGAGUGAAGAAGGUUUUCGGAUCGUAAAGCUCUGUUGUUAGAGAAGAACGUUGGUAGGAGUGGAAAAUCUACCAAGUGACGGUAACUAACCAGAAAGGGACGGCUAACUACGUGCCAGCAGCCGCGGUAAUACGUAGGUCCCGAGCGUUGUCCGGAUUUAUUGGGCGUAAAGCGAGCGCAGGCGGUUCUUUAAGUCUGAAGUUAAAGGCAGUGGCUUAACCAUUGUACGCUUUGGAAACUGGAGGACUUGAGUGCAGAAGGGGAGAGUGGAAUUCCAUGUGUAGCGGUGAAAUGCGUAGAUAUAUGGAGGAACACCGGUGGCGAAAGCGGCUCUCUGGUCUGUAACUGACGCUGAGGCUCGAAAGCGUGGGGAGCAAGCAGGAUUAGAUACCCUGGUAGUCCACGCCGUAAACGAUAAGUGCUAGGUGUUAGGCCCUUUCCGGGGCUUAGUGCCGCAGCUAACGCAUAAUGCACUCCGCCUG
rnacentral:rRNA from 1 species